rnacentral:pre_miRNA from 1 species
GAAACAUUCGGACCCUCGGUAUAUCGAGUAAUUUCACCAGGUCGGUGAAAGAUCUUCCCUUUAUCGA